GGAACUUUGAAGAACAAGAUUUAUUACUCACAGGUCCUGGAAAGAACAUGACAUGACAAUGGCACAUAGUCAGGUCAAGGACCAACUGCUUUUGGAUGAUGAACACUGUAAGUUUACCAGCUCUCAAACUGGAACUAUACCAUCUGCUCUUCUGGACCUCAAGUUUGCCAACUAGAGACUCCUCAGUCUCCAUAACCACAUGAUAUAAUUUUUUUCUAAUAAGUU